rnacentral:rRNA from 1 species
AGCGAACGCUGGCGGCAGGCUUAACACAUGCAAGUCGAGCGGGCAUAGCAAUAUGUCAGCGGCAGACGGGUGAGUAACGCGUGGGAACGUACCUUUUGGUUCGGAACAACUGAGGGAAACUUCAGCUAAUACCGGAUAAGCCCUUACGGGGAAAGAUUUGUCGCCGAAAGAUCGGCCCGCGUCUGAUUAGCUAGUUGGUGAGGUAAUGGCUCACCAAGGCGACGAUCAGUAGCUGGUCUGAGAGGAUGAUCAGCCACAUUGGGACUGAGACACGGCCCAAACUCCUACGGGAGGCAGCAGUGGGGAAUAUUGGACAAUGGGCGCAAGCCUGAUCCAGCCAUGCCGCGUGAGUGAUGAAGGCCCUAGGGUUGUAAAGCUCUUUUGUGCGGGAAGAUAAUGACGGUACCGCAAGAAUAAGCCCCGGCUAACUUCGUGC